CGGACGUGAGGGAACCUGCCUUCCAGAGGGGGACAACAGUUGGAAACGACUGCUAAUACCGCAUGAUGCGUUGGAGCCGCAUGACUCCGACGUCAAAGAUUUAUCGCUGGAAGAUGGCCUCGCGUCUGAUUAGCUAGUUGGUGAGGUAACGGCCCACCAAGGCGACGAUCAGUAGCCGGACUGAGAGGUUGGCCGGCCACACUGGGACUGAGACACGGCCCAGACUCCUACGGAAGGCAGCAG
rnacentral:rRNA from 1 species